GCCUGGCCUGGGCUUCGAAGCCCAUCAACCCCCGGCUGCCUGUUCCCCGCACAUCCCAGCUGACCAGUGCUCUCCCCACACAGGCUCCACGGGGUCCCCACCUUGCCGUUCACACGCCAGACUUCCCAGGACACAAAGACGGGAAAACAGAAGUGCGGAGGCCUGAGGCAUCUGCACCUGAACUUAGGGCUUCCCGCUCUGGUCCGGAGAACUUGGUAACACAGGGCUGCCCUUGGGAAAGGGGCAGAAGGCGCAGAACUGCCGCUGACAGAGCAGCUGGGCUCAUCUUCCCAUUGGCCCUUGUGAGCAGCCUGCGGGAAGGAGUCACCUAACGAGGCCUCCUCAACCACCCCCCACCACACCUGGGGCCAGGAAGUCCUUGGCUCCAGCAAGCAUCGCUGGCCCUUCCCGCUAGAUGCCUGUGACCUCCCUCCCCUGGCUGAGAUGACAAAACCUCUCCAGACUUAGCUAAGUGUCUCCACGGGAGCAAAGGCACCCUCAUUGGUAAUCUCUGAUCCGAAGGCCAGUUAGAUCCCAGGGCUCAAGAAAAGGAAGAGGCCCUGCCUCUUCUCACCUUCUCUCCCACGCGUGCUCCUCCUGGUCCCCAGCUGGCUCCGAGGCCACUCUGCACCCUCUCCCUCCUCUGCCAGGGAGGGUGGCCUGUCACAAGCAUCCCCUAGCACCCACACUCGCGGAGGGGGGAUCAACGCUGACUAAGUGUCCCUGGGUCAAGGUCCUCCUUAACACCACGAACUCCUGGAAGGUGAGGAGGACUCCCUGCCUCCCCUGAGCAGCAGUUGGACAAGCAGAUUCAGCAAUUAAGUCACUGAAGUAAAACAGCCAACAAGAGUCAGGAUCCAGCUUCAAGCCAGCGGCUCUCAGGCCAGCACAUGGCAGGGAGCUAGGACCUGGAAGGCUGGUCUGACCCAGGAGAGCCCUGGCAACUGCCAGGGACCUUGGGGGAGUGAACACCACGGUGCUGGAGGAACAGAAUUGAUGUGCAAGUUUUCAAAGUCCACAGACGCAGCCGGAGCCCCUCCUGCGCCUGCAGUGCUGCUGGUGCCACUAACCUUCACGUGCACUUCGCUGUCCAACUUUAAUGUACAAAGCGGUGCAGUCUUCGCUUACUAGAAAACUCUUAGGCUCACCUACUGAAACAUGAGUUCCUGAGGGCCAGGGUUUUGGCUCUUUUUCUCCUUCUGCCCGAGGUGCUUUACCAAUAUGCUGGCACAAAACAAGCGCUUGAUGGCUAUUUAGUGGGUGAGUGAAAUUCCCGCUCUGCCUGAGCUGCCUCCUCAGCAGGAUGGGUCUCAAGGGCAGUUCGGGCACACAGCAGGUCCUUAGAGCUGCUGGGUCGAGCUGAUCCGGUGCCAGGUCACUGGGGAAACAGAGGCAGCUCAGCUGAGUCACCCGACAGAAGGCAGCAGCACGAGCGGAGCCGCGGGGCCUUGAACGGAACACUG